rnacentral:snRNA from 1 species
UUACUUACCUGGAUGGGGUUGACGGCCGAUCAAGAAGGGUUGUGGCCUAGAUCAAUGACUCGCAUUGCACCUGGCGAGUGUGUUGACCUAUCAUCUCCUUUGUUUGGAGAAUGAACGUCAUAAUUUGUGAUAGAGGAGGUACGCGUUCGCGCGGCCUCUA